UCAGAGUCAAUUCCUCUAUUGACCAAAAGUGCCAAUUAUUGCAAUUGAACAUUUAAUUGCUAUCAAAUCCUCAGGUCACAAUCGAUUACACACAUUACCACUAAUUUUUCCUUGUUCCAAGCUUUAACAUUUUUUAACAAUUUUCUCUCACUACUCUCUCUCUAGAUUAGGGCAAUUCUUGCUUACAGCUUCAAAACUUUAUCAUUUUGACUUAAACCAGUUAAAAAGCACUAGUUUAACUCCGAGAAACCUUUUUAUUACGAUUGGGUAAAAAAUCAACUUGUUAAAACUCCCGAAUUCACUUUCUCAUUAGUUAAAAUUAAGAAAAAAUAGGGUAGGUUUGGAGGUUAACGUACUUACUCAAUAAGUAAUGAGUCAGAGACACAAUCCUUGCUCCUGAUUUAGCUUGCUCUAGCAGAUCCCUUGCACUUCUCCACAUUUGAUCUCUUCUCUUAUGUUCUCCCUUCUGUUUUCCACGAGCUAGACACAUUCUACUAAUUUGAUUUUUGCUCCAUGCACCACGGCGCAUUUAUCACCAACCACGAUGUGUGGCACAGUGAGGGAAAUCCUCACUAUGCUUACACGCUUUGCUCCGGGAUUCUACUCUUUUACUCAUAUCUGUUUAUAUAACAUCCCAAUAAGUCGAUAUAACACUUCAUCACGUAGAACUCUAAUCCCACAUUAAAUAACUGAUUCAUUCCUAAUUAGUCAUUAAUGCAUGAUUAUAAAUUCGGGAUGUUACGUGAUGCAUAUCAAUUAUUCAAAGCUUGAUUCCAAUUCCUUCCCCUUUGGUUUCUCUAGGGCCAAACUCCUAUAUAUCAAAUAAGGCCUAAUAAGUUUUAAGGUUUUUUUUAAAUUUUAAAGAAUUAUUUUAAAAGUAAUUUAUAAAUAUAAUUAUAUGAAGUCUUUAGGAUCAAAUUAUUCUUGAAUACAACGAACUAAACCACAUGAUUCCUAUAUGUUUGAACUUUGGAGGUUUGUGAGGAGAAAGUGAAGGAAUGGUGUGAUUCAAGGGGAAAACAUGCCUUACUUUCAAACGUCUGCAAAAGAGAACUACAAUGUUGAAGAGGCAUUCUCAUGUGUUGCUAAAAUUGCGCUGGAAAAUGAACAUGAACAAGACAUAUAUUUUCCGAGGAUGUCCGAAACUGUUUCAGAAGCAGAACCACGUAGUCCUUGCGCGUGCUAAUUAAGCUUGGAUCAUGGAUGCCAUCUCAAAUUAGGAAUGGAUGACAUUUGCUUUCUUUUCUUUUCAUUUUUUUUGGGUCAUUUUCUUCAAUCAAUCAAAUGAGUAAAUUAUAAUAAUAAUUUUUUUGAAGUCUUAUUGAGAAUACAUUUAUUUUUUUAAAAAAACUUUUGUUUAUUUUUG